UGGGGAAUAUUGCACAAUGGGCGCAAGCCUGAUGCAGCCAUGCCGCGUGUAUGAAGAAGGCCUUCGGGUUGUAAAGUACUUUCAGUCGGGAGGAAGGUGGUAAGGUUAAUAACCUUGGCAAUUGACGUUACCGACAGAAGAAGCACCGGCUAACUCCGUGCCAGCAGCCGCGGUAAUACGGAGGGUGCAAGCGUUAAUCGGAAUUACUGGGCGUAAAGCGCACGCAGGCGGUUGAUUGAGUCAGAUGUGAAAUCCCCGGGCUUAACCCGGGAAUUGCAUCUGAUACUGGACAGCUAGAGUCUUGUAGAGGGGGGUAGAAUUCCAUGUGUAGCGGUGAAAUGCGUAGAGAUGUGGAGGAGUACCGGUGGCGAAGGCGGCCCCCUGGACAAAGACUGACACUCAGGUGCGAAAGCGUGGGGAGCAAACAGG
rnacentral:rRNA from 1 species